rnacentral:rRNA from 1 species
UUGAACGCUGGCGGCAGGCCUAACACAUGCAAGUCGAGCGGCGGCGCGGGGCAACCUGGCGGCGAGCGGCGGACGGGUGAGUAACGCGUAGGAAUCUACCCAGUAGCGGGGGAUAGCCCGGGGAAACUCGGAUUAAUACCGCAUACGCCCUAAGGGGGAAAGCAGGGGAUCGCAAGACCUUGCACUAUUGGAAGAGCCUGCGUUGGAUUAGCUAGUUGGUAGGGUAAGGGCCGACCAAGGAGACGAGCCAUAACUGGUCUGAGAGGAUGAUCAGUCACACCGGAACUGAGAAACUGUCCGGACUCCUACGGGAGGCAGCAGUGGGGAAUAUUGGACAAUGGGGGCAACCCUGAUCCAGCCAUGCCGCGUGUGUGAAGAAGGCCUUCGGGUUGUAAAGCACUUUAAGUGGGGAGAAAGGUUCGGCAGCUAAUACCUGCCGGAAGUGAUGUUACCCACAGAAUAAGCACCGGCUAACUCUGUGCCAGCCGCCGCCGUAA